rnacentral:rRNA from 1 species
UGGGGAAUAUUGCACAAUGGGCGAAAGCCUGAUGCAGCGACGCCGCGUGAGGGAUGACGCCCUUCGGGUUGUACACCUCUUUCAGUAGGGACGAAGCGCAAGUGCCGGUACCUGCAGAAGAAGCACCGGCUAACUACGUGCCAGCAGCCGCGGUAAUACGUAGGGUGCGAGCGUUGUCCGGAAUUACUGGGCGUAAAGAGCUCGUAGGCGGUUUGUCACGUCGUCUGGGAAAUCCUAGGGCUUAACCCUGGACGUGCAGGCGAUACGGGCUGACUUGAGUACUACAGGGGAGACUGGAAUUUCUGGUGUAGCGGUGGAAUGCACAGAUAUCAGGAAGAACACCGAUGGCGAAGGCAGGUCUCUGGGUAGUAACUGACGCUGAGGAGCGAAAGCAUGGGUAGCGAACAGG